GGCAGCUCAGUCCAGUUUUAUGUACUGCCUACAACAUGUGGGAAGUCCUAGAUGCCGAAAACACCUUUUUCCACUGGGGAGUGCAGCCACGCUCAUGGGACUGUUUCAGAGGUUUAAGAAUCAAAAAAUGGAUUAUUUGGUCUCCAACAAUGAAUGCAAGACUUGCUAACUGAAUUGCUUUCCGGGAAAUACAGAGAGGAGUUUUAAAAACUGGUUCUUCCAAGCAGAA